rnacentral:rRNA from 1 species
CCUACGGGAGGCAGCAGUGGGGAAUAUUGGACAAUGGGGGAAACCCUGAUCCAGCAAUGCCGCGUGAGUGAUGAAGGCCUUAGGGUCGUAAAGCUCUUUUACCAGGGAUGAUAAUGACAGUACCUGGAGAGUAAGCUCCGGCUAACUCCGUGCCAGCAGCCGCGGUAAUACGGAGGGAGCUAGCGUUGUUCGGAAUUACUGGGCGUAAAGCGUGCGUAGGCGGUUAUUCAAGUCAGAGGUGAAAGCCCGGGGCUCAACCCCGGAACGGCCUUUGAAACUAGAUAACUAGAAUCUUGGAGAGGUCAGUGGAAUUCCGAGUGUAGAGGUGAAAUUCGUAGAUAUUCGGAAGAACACCAGUGGCGAAGGCGACUGACUGGACAAGUAUUGACGCUGAGGUACGAAAGCGUGGGGAGCAAACAGGAUUAGAUACCCUGGUAGUCCACGCCGUAAACGAUGAUAACUAGCUGUCCGGACACUUGGUGUUUGGGUGGCGCAGCUAACGCAUUAAGUAUCCGCCUGGGGAUACGGUCGCAAGNUUAAAACUCAAAAUGAAUUGACGG